rnacentral:rRNA from 1 species
AUUGAACGCUGGCGGCAUGCCUUACACAUGCAAGUCGAACGGCAGCGGACCUUCGGGUGCCGGCGAGUGGCGAACGGGUGAGUAAUAUAUCGGAACGUACCUUUCAGUGGGGGAUAACGUAGCGAAAGUUACGCUAAUACCGCAUAUUCUGUGAGCAGGAAAGCAGGGGAGUCGCAAGACCUUGCGCUGAUUGAGCGGCCGAUAUCAGAUUAGCUAGUUGGUGAGGUAAAGGCUCACCAAGGCGACGAUCUGUAGCGGGUCUGAGAGGAUGAUCCGCCACACUGGAACUGAGACACGGUCCAGACUCCUACGGGAGGCAGCAGUGGGGAAUUUUGGACAAUGGGCGCAAGCCUGAUCCAGCCAUGCCGCGUGAGUGAAGAAGGCCUCGG